rnacentral:rRNA from 1 species
UGUAAUGUAAAAUUAAUUUGAAGUAGUAAUAGUUAUAGUCUUAAAACUUAAUAAAUUUGGCAGUAUUUUAUCUUAUCAGAGGAAUCUGUAUAGUAAUUGAUAGUCCACGACUUAAAUUUACUUUUAAUUAAAUAAUUUGUAUACCGUUGUCAUGAAUGUAUUUUAAGAUUUAAUUUUCUGGUGCUUUAUGAGUUUAAUGUUAAAUCAAGGUGCAGUAUUUAAAAGAAAAAUAUGGAUUACAUAUUUAAUGAUUUGUAGAUAAAUGAUUUUUUAAUCUUUUGAAAUUGGAUUUGAUAGUAAUUUUAUUAGAGUAAUAAAUUGAAAAAAGAUUCUG